AGAGUUUGAUCCUGGCUCAGGAUGAACGCUAGCUACAGGCUUAACACAUGCAAGUCGAGGGGCAGCGAGAGGAAAGCUUGCUUUCCUUGUCGGCGACCGGCGCACGGGUGAGUAACGCGUAUCCAACCUUCCCCAUAGUAGAGGAUAGCCCGGCGAAAGUCGGAUUAAUACUCUAUGUUGUGUCAUGAGGACAUCUGAAUAACACUAAAGAUUUAUCGCUAUGGGAUGGGGAUGCGUCUGAUUAGCUUGUCGGCGGGGUAACGGCCCACCGAGGCGACGAUCAGUAGGGGUUCUGAGAGGAAGGUCCCCCACAUUGGUACUGAGACACGGACCAAACUCCUACGGGAGGCAGCAGUGAGGAAUAUUGGUCAAUGGACGAGAGUCUGAACCAGCCAAGUAGCGUGCAGGAUGACUGCCCUAUGGGUUGUAAACUGCUUUUAUCAGGGAAUAAAGUGAGGCACGUGUGCUUUUUGUAUGUACCUGAUGAAUAAGGACCGGCUAAUUCCGUGCCAGCAGCCGCGGUAAUACGGAAGGUCCGGGCGUUAUCCGGAUUUAUUGGGUUUAAAGGGAGCGCAGGCGAAGGUUAAGCGUGACGUGAAAUGUACCGGCUCAACCGGUGAUGUGCGUCGCGAACUGGCUUUCUUGAGUGAGUACGACGCUGGCGGAAUUCGUGGUGUAGCGGUGAAAUGCUUAGAUAUCACGAAGAACUCCGAUUGCGAAGGCAGCCGGCGAGUCCUCAACUGACGCUAAUGCUCGAAGUGCGGGUAUCGAACAGGAUUAGAUACCCUGGUAGUCCGCACGGUAAACGAUGGAUGCCCGCUGUUGCGAUAUACUGUCAGCGGCCAAGCGAAAGCGUUAAGCAUCCCACCUGGGGAGUACGCCGGCAACGGUGAAACUCAAAGGAAUUGAACGGGGGCCCGCACAAGCGGAGGAACAUGUGGUUUAAUUCGAUGAUACGCGAGGAACCUUACCCGGGCUUGAACUGCAGGAGAACGAUUCAGAGAUGAUGAGGUCUUCGGGACUCCUGUGGAGGUGCUGCAUGGUUGUCGUCAGCUCG
rnacentral:rRNA from 1 species